AAUGCGCGAAAGCGUGACGGAGCAAUGCCGCGUGAUCGAAGAAGGCCUUCGGGUUGUAAAGAUCUGUCAGGGGGGAAAAACAAUGAUGGUACCCCCAGAGGAAGCCACGGCUAACUACGUGCCAGCAGCCGCGGUAAUACGUAGGUGGCGAGCAUUAUUCGGAAUUACUGGGCGUAAAGGGUCCGCAGGGGGUUUGCUAAGUCAGAUGUGAAAUUUCAGUGCUUAACACUGAACGUGCAUUUGAAACUGGUAGACUAGAGUAUGUGAGAGGUGAGCGGAAUUUGUGGUGUAGCGGUGGAGUGCGUAGAUAUCACAAGGAAGGCCAAAGGCGAAAGCAGCUCACUGGCACAAUACUGACCCUCAGGGACGAAGGCUAAGGUAGCGAAAAGGAUU
rnacentral:rRNA from 1 species